UGGGGAAUCUUGCGCAAUGGGCGAAAGCCUGACGCAGCGACGCCGCGUGGGUGAUGAAGGCCUUCGGGUUGUAAAGCCCUGUGGGGAGGGACGAAUAACGCCGACCUAAUACGUCGGUGGAUGACGGUACCUCCUUAGCAAGCACCGGCUAACUCUGUGCCAGCAGCCGCGGUAAGACAGAGGGUGCAAACGUUGUUCGGAAUUACUGGGCGUAAAGCGCGUGUAGGCGGUUAUGCAAGUCGGGUGUGAAAGCCCAGGGCUCAACCCUGGAAGUGCAUUCGAUACUGCGUAGCUAGAGUACUGGAGAGGAUGGUGGAACUCUCGGUGUAGAGGUGAAAUUCGUAGAUAUCGAGAAGAACACCGGUGGCGAAGGCGGCCAUCUGGACAGAUACUGACGCUGAGACGCGAAAGCGUGGGGAGCAAACAGG
rnacentral:rRNA from 1 species